GCACUGUUGCCUGAUAGGUAAUAGGGGUUUACUGUAAAUAAACUGAAUUUGAUUCAAUCGGAGUUCGAGUCUCUGGCAGUGCA
rnacentral:tRNA from 1 species